rnacentral:rRNA from 2 species
GGCGGCCAGCCUAUACAUGCAAGUCGAACGAACUCUGGUAUUGAUUGGUGCUUGCAUCAUGAUUUACAUUUGAGUGAGUGGCGAACUGGUGAGUAACACGUGGGAAACCUGCCCAGAAGCGGGGGAUAACACCUGGAAACAGAUGCUAAUACCGCAUAACAACUUGGACCGCAUGGUCCGAGUUUGAAAGAUGGCUUCGGCUAUCACUUUUGGAUGGUCCCGCGGCGUAUUAGCUAGAUGGUGGGGUAACGGCUCACCAUGGCAAUGAUACGUAGCCGACCUGAGAGGGUAAUCGGCCACAUUGGGACUGAGACACGGCCCAAACUCCUACGGGAGGCAGCAGUAGGGAAUCUUCCACAAUGGACGAAAGUCUGAUGGAGCAACGCCGCGUGAGUGAAGAAGGGUUUCGGCUCGUAAAACUCUGUUGUUAAAGAAGAACAUAUCUGAGAGUAACUGUUCAGGUAUUGACGGUAUUUAACCAGAAAGCCACGGCUAACUACGUGCCAGCAGCCGCGGUAAUACGUAGGUGGCAAGCGUUGUCCGGAUUUAUUGGGCGUAAAGCGAGCGCAGGCGGUUUUUUAAGUCUGAUGUGAAAGCCUUCGGCUCAACCGAAGAAGUGCAUCGGAAACUGGGAAACUUGAGUGCAGAAGAGGACAGUGGAACUCCAUGUGUAGCGGUGAAAUGCGUAGAUAUAUGGAAGAACACCAGUGGCGAAGGCGGCUGUCUGGUCUGUAACUGACGCUGAGGCUCGAAAGUAUGGGUAGCAAACAGGAUUAGAUACCCUGGUAGUCCAUACCGUAAACGAUGAAUGCUAAGUGUUGGAGGGUUUCCGCCCUUCAGUGCUGCAGCUAACGCAUUAAGCAUUCCGCCUGGGGAGUACGGCCGCAAGGCUGAAACUCAAAGGAAUUGACGGGUGCCCGCACAAGCGGUGGAGCAUGUGUUUUAAUUCGGAGCUACGCGAAGAACCUUACCAGGU